rnacentral:misc_RNA from 1 species
AAAAGGGCCCUCGUGCAUCUCAGCGGCACCAUUGGUGACCCUACUCCCACUUCCGUCGCUCCCGCGUCCUCAUCAUUCGAAUCCGCAGGCAGAAGCCGACCACGGACAGUGGAAACCUCUUCUCUUUCUACUGAUAUCAUGUCUUCCAUCGCGAGUGCAGCUGCUGCUGCCGCCGCCGCAUCGCCGCGCCCACCAUCGUCCGCGCUCUACACGGAACGACUCUUCUACGCGGCGUUGAAGCAAGGGAACCCGUCAGAGGCGCGGGUGGAGGCGUGACGGCGUUGGCGCUCCGGCAUCUCCCAAAGUCUGCCGAGACAUGGGCGGCGCUGCGCAAGGCGCUGAUGGAGCAGUCCGACCUCGACGGGGCGCCGAACCGCACCUUGUGGUACGUACUCGACGCACUCAUAAAGCACGCCCCGCACGUGUUUGUGCCCCUGGUCGCCCCACGCCUGCUCGAGUACACCAUCCAGCAAAUGCCGUGGGAGCUGGCGGGGCACCGCGGUCAGACACUGCUGUGGUUUGAGGCUCUUGUGCUGUCGUGGGAGAAGGUGCUGCCGCAACGGCUCUACAGCGCUGUCCGCCAGCACGCCGUGCAGUCAAGGAGUGGGGCAGAGCUGCACGAUCUUCUCGAGGCUGCUGAGAACUCGGUGGACGACGGCACGCCUGCCUCCCCGGCAGACCUACAGCAAUUGCGCGACGCAUGGGAUGCUGUGCAGUACAUGGGCGAACAGGAGGCUGGCAAGUCCGUUUUCCAUGCACGCCCCAUUACCGCCGAGGUCGUAGUGGUGGACGAGGAUGGAAAGAGUUCUUCGUCUCCAUCGGCACCCGUGAGCGGGCUAUACGCGACGCCCAUUGGCAACAAUGGCCGCACAGCAGGGGCAGGCACCUGGGCGCCGAUAUCGCUAAUACGCAGCAGCAGCAGCAGCAGCAGCAAGAGGAGGACGAGUACACGCCAGACUUUGUCGAAGGCGCCAAACCGCGCGAGCUACCAAAACUGGAUCUUCCGAAGCUGAAGCGGCGACGAGAGGGGCGACGCAGACCUCGUGAAGAUGACCUUGGUAUGUGAGGAGGCCACCAGGCCACCGUGCGCGUGUGUAUGUCUCUCCCUCUCCUGCUGAUGCACAUGCGGGAGGAAAGUGUGCAUACAGCGUGCCCGCCAUCACCACGGCAACGCGAUGGACUGAGGCAGUGACACGCCACAAGGGUGGUGCGUGCUUAGCCGGUGAGAAGAGACAAC